rnacentral:rRNA from 1 species
UACGUAGGGGGCUAGCGUUGUCCGGAUUUACUGGGCGUAAAGAGCGCGCAGGCGGUCGUACAAGUCGCGUGUGAAAGCCCCCCGGCUCAACUGGGGAGGGUCACGCGAUACUGUUCGACUCGAAGGCAGGAGAGGGUAGUGGAAUUCCCGGUGUAGUGGUGAAAUGCGUAGAUAUCGGGAGGAACACCAGUGGCGAAGGCGACUACCUGGCCUGUUCUUGACGCUGAGGCGCGAAAGCUAGGGGAGCGAACGGG